ensembl:lncRNA novel transcript
AGCUACCAGCUUUGAGGGCAGAACCCGCGUGGCCCGAGCGGGGGUCUAGGCGAAGGGGCAGUGCGUGGUAUUUCCAGCCCCGCGUAGUGCCCGAAGCCUGCAAGCACGCCUCCUGGGUUCCAGCAGCGGCGGCAGAGCGGGGUUGGUUGGACCCGCCAGAUUUCAGAUACUCAGACUCCACCUUUACUUUUACCUAUGUUGGCGGCCCCAGAAGUCAGACAUGGAGUUAGUGGUAGAAGAAACAGAAGGGGUAACCUGCAUGGUGACAGCUACUGAGGGGAUGGAUAGGAAAGCAGGCUGAGUCCCUGGGGCCAGUGGUUACCAAAGCCAAGGAGAGAGCAAGGGGAGCCCAGUGGGCCUGGCCAUGGACUGCUCUGGAAUUCCGAGUGUGAACUUUCAGCCAAGAAGGAGCUUCUGUCUAGAUGAAUAGCAAGUGUGACACUGAUA